UACGUAGGGGGCAAGCGUUGUCCGGACUUACUGGGCGUAAAGGGCUCGUAGGCGGCCAACUAAGUCAGACGUGAAAUCCCUCGGCUUAACCGGGGAACUGCGUCUGGUACUGGAUGGCUUGAGUUUGGGAGAGGGAUGCGGAAUUCCAGGUGUAGCGGUGAAAUGCGUAGAUAUCUGGAGGAACACCGGUGGCGAAGGCGGCAUCCUGGACCAACACUGACGCUGAGUGAGCGAAAGCGUGGGGAGCGAACAGG
rnacentral:rRNA from 1 species